UCUAAAAUAGGUUUUCAUUUGUCUCCAUUUCACCACUUGUGCGGCGAAGAAGGAAGCAUUCUCGUGCUCGAUCCUUCUUGAAGUCUAUCUAUUUCUCCUUUUCCGACCGUUUCAUUCACCGAACACCCAGCCAUGCCGAAGAAUAAGGGAAAGGGAGGAAAGAACAGGCGACGUGGUAAGAACGAGAAUGAAGCAGAGAAGAGAGAGUUGAUCUUCAAGGAGGAGGGCCAAGAAUAUGCCCAGGUGACAAAAAUGCUUGGAAAUGGCAGAUUGGAAGCUCUCUGUUUUACCGAUGGAAUGAAGAGGCUCUGUCACAUCCGUGGGAAACUCCGAAAGAAA